rnacentral:rRNA from 1 species
UAUUUCACAAUGGGGGAAACCCUGAUGCAGCGACGCCGCGUGAGUGAAGAAGUAUUUCGGUAUGUAAAGCUCUAUCAGCAGGGAAGAUAAUGACGGUACCUGACUAAGAACCCCCGGCUAACUACGUUCCAGCAGCAGCGGUAAUACGUAGGGGGCAAGCGUCAGCCGGAUUUACUGGGUGUAAAGGGAGCGUAGGUGGCAGGGCAAGUCAGAUGUGAAAACCCGGGGCUCAACCCCGGGAGUGCAUUUGAAACUGUCCAGCUGGAGUGCAGGAGAAGUAAGCGGAAUUCCUAGUGUAGCGGUGAAAUGCAUAGAUAUUAGGAGGAACACCAGUGGCGAAGGCGGCUUACUGGACUGUAACUGACACUGAGGCUCGAAAGCGUGGGGAGCAAACAGG